AAAAAAUUUUAUUUUUGUUUGAAAAUUUAUUUUUAAAUUAUUUUACAUAUAAAUUAUUUUAUUAAUUUAAUUUAAAUUUAAAAAAUUUAAAUUAUUGUUAUUAAUAAUAGUAGUAAUUUACAUUAAUAAUUAAAAGGAAUUUUGAUUUAGUAGUUUAUAUAAUAUUAGUAAAAAUUGUGCCAGCAACUGCGGUUAUACAAUUAAUGUGAAUAAAUUAUAUUAUUUAAAGUUAAAAUUUAUAAAAAAAAAUUAAAAAUUUAUUUAUUAAGUUAAAUUUUAAAUUAAUUUAUAUUUAUUAUUUAGAAUUUUUUAAGCUUAAAAAUUUUAUAAAAAACUAGGAUUAGAUACCCUAUUAUAAAAAUGUAAUAAAUUAAAUAGAUUAGUAUUAGUUAUGAUCUUAAAAAUUAAUAAAUUUGGCGGUAUUUUAUUCUAUUCAGAGGAAUUUGUUUUAUAAUUGAUAAUACCCAUUAAAUCUUACUUAAUUUAUUAAAAUAUGUAUAUCGUCGUCAUAAGAAUAUCUUAUAAGAGUUUAUAAUAUUCUAAAAUUUUAAUUAAUAAUGAUGUCAGAUCAAGGUGCAGUUUAUAAUUAAGAAAAAAUGAAUUACAAUAAAUUUAUUUAUUAUGGAUAAUUAAUUUAAAUAUUAAUUUAAAGGUGGAUUUGAUAGUAAAUUUAUAAAUAUAGAUAAAUUGAUUUUAGUUUUAAAAUAUGCACAUAUCGCCCGUCGCUUUCAUUAAUAAAUGAGAUAAGUCGUAACAUAGUAAAAGUACUGGAAAGUGUUUUUAGAUUCAG
rnacentral:ncRNA from 1 species